rnacentral:rRNA from 1 species
CCUACGGGUGGCAGCAGUGAGGAAUAUUGGUCAAUGGGCGUAAGCCUGAACCAGCCAAGUCGCGUGAGGGAUGAAGGUUCUAUGGAUCGUAAACCUCUUUUAUAAGGGAAUAAAGUGUGGGACGUGUCCUAUUUUGUAUGUACCUUAUGACUAAGGAUCGGCUAACUCCGUGCCCGCGGCCGCGGUAAUACGGAGGAUCCGAGCGUUAUACGGAUUUAUUGGGGUUAAAGGGUACGUCGGCGGGCUGUUAAGUCAGCGGUAAAAGCACGGGGCUCAACCCCGGCGAGCCGUUGAAACUUGCUGUCUUGAGAUGUCGAGAGGUAUGCGGAAUGCGCAGUGUAGCGGUGAAAUGCUUAGAUAUUGCGCAGAACUCCGAUUGCGAAGGCAGCAUACCGGCGGCGAUCUGACGCUGAGGCACGAAAGCGUGGGUAUCGAACAGGAUUAGAUACCCCAGUAGUC